rnacentral:rRNA from 1 species
UUCCGGUUGAUCCCGCCGGAGGCUACCGCUAUUGGAGUUCGAUUAAGCCAUGCGAGUCGCGAGAAUUAGAUUCUCGGCGUACCGCUCAGUAACACGUGGGUAACCUGCCCUAUGCUGGAUAAUAACCUCGGGAAACUGAGAAUAAUGAUCUAUAGUUCACUACGCCUGGAACGGUGAGUGGAUGAAAGCUCCGGCGGCAUAGGAUGGGCCUGCGGCGUAUCAGGUUGUAGGGGGUGUAAUGUACCCUCUAGCCCUCUACGCGUACGGGUGUUGAGAGACAUCGCCCGGAGAUGGAUUCUGAGACACGAAUCCAGACCCUACGGGGUGCAGCAGGCGCGAAAACUUGGCAAUGCGAGAAAUCGUGACCAGGGAACUCCAAGUGCAUGGGGUAAGACCUAUGCUUUUCUAGACUCUAAAAAGGUCUUGGAAUAAGAGGUGGGUAAGGACGGUGCCAGCCGCCGCGGUAAUACCGGCGCCUCAAGUGGUAGUCGCUUUUAUUGGGCCUAAAACGUCCGUAGCCGGUCUGAUACAUUCGUGGGUAAAUCAACCAGCUUAACUGGUUGAAUUCUGCGAGGACGGUCAGACUUGGGACCGGGAGAGGUGUGGGGUACGCUCAGGGUAGGGGUAAAAUCCUGUCAUCCUGAGCGGACCACCUGUUGCGAAGGCGCCACACUAGAACGGAUCCGACGGUCAGGGACGAAGCCUAGGGGCACGAACCGGAUUAGAUACCCGGGUAGUCCUAGGUGUAAACGCUGUGGACUUGAUGUUGGGGGUGCUCCGAGCACUCUCAGUGUCGAAGCGAAGGCGAUAAGUCCACUGCCUGGGAAGUACGGUCGCAAGGCUGAAACUUAAAGGAAUUGGCGGGGGAGCACCGCAACCUGAGGAUUGUGCGGUUUAAUUGGAUUCAACGCCGGA